rnacentral:rRNA from 1 species
GACUCGUCACACUAUCAUUAACUGAAUCCAUAGGUUAAUGAGGCGAACCGGGGGAACUGAAACAUCUAAGUACCCCGAGGAAAAGAAAUCAACCGAGAUUCCCCCAGUAGCGGCGAGCGAACGGGGAGGAGCCCAGAGCCUGAAUCAGCAUGUGUGUUAGUGGAAGCGUCUGGAAAGGCGCGCGAUACAGGGUGACAGCCCCGUACACAAAAGCGCAUGUGCUGUGAGCUCGAUGAGUAGGGCGGGACACGUGGUAUCCUGUCUGAAUAUGGGGGGACCAUCCUCCAAGGCUAAAUACUCCUGACUGACCGAUAGUGAACCAGUACCGUGAGGGAAAGGCGAAAAGAACCCCGGCGAGGGGAGUGAAAAAGAACCUGAAACCGUGUACGUACAAGCAGUGGGAGCA